AUUAUCAUCUUCAGUUUUGAGAGACUUAAGAAAGUUUUUCAUUGUAACUUGCUUGCAAAUUGUAUUUGCAACAUUUUAAUCUUUUUAAGAUUAAGGGCCUAUAGCUCAGUUGGUUAGAGCACACGCCUGAUAAGCGUGAGGUCGGUGGUUCAAGUCCAUUUAGGCCCACCAUAACCACAAAUAGGCAAAAUCUUAAAAAAGCUCUUUGAAAAGUAGAUAAACGAAGGUUAAAAAAUCCAAAAGGGCCUUAAA
rnacentral:misc_RNA from 1 species